GCCUGCUUCCCCCCCACCCUCAAAAAAAAAAAAAAAAAAAAACAGCUUUUCAGGCCCGUAUUCGCUCACGCUUCAUGGGUACUAGUAGCAAUUCUUAGAAUUAGAUCUGUUAUCCUGUCUUCCCUCCUUUAUUUCCGCUUAUUUUCCCUCGAUCUUCCCACGGAUUCCGAUUCACAAUAAUCGCGAUUCUCUCUGAGAAGAUUGUUUUGAUCAGAAUUCUUGAUCCGAGUUCGGUCGCUUCACUUGUUACAACUUCGAUAGAUGUAUGACUGGAAUCCGUGUAUGGUUGAAUUUACUUUCAUGGAAACCAGAUGCGGUUUUCGCUUCGUGUUUCCGUACUCUGAAUCCGUUUGAUUCCCGAAAACUUGUGGAAAUAUAAAAGAAGAGAGACAAGCAAACGAAGCCGGUUAUCUUAAGUUAGUCUUAGUUACGGGAAUAGCGGGCCGCUUUUUGGACAAUGCGCGUUCGGAUCCCAGGUAACUUGGAGUUUCCUUUUUUCCUUUCGAUAUGGAAAUUAUGUCAGAAAAUUCACCUUUCAAUUCUGUAGCUGUAGACAGUAGACUGGCUGAAGAUUUCAUGCAUUUUCCCUUCUUACGCGAUGCAGGUCCAACUAACUUGGCAGGGGCAGAUUCAUCUUUGCGAUCGAACUCGAUAAGGGGGAUGGUCUAUUGUCCACUGUGAUGGGUUUGUUUGACUUUGCCCUACAUCUCAACUCGCACCGUCUCACUGAACACAACUAUCUUCAGUGGUCUUGAUGCUGAUGAUCAUACGUGUUUGACAAAAGGAUUAUUAUCUGACAUGGAUUCCUCCACCAUCGAAUCCUGCCAACCCCAUAUAUGACAGAUGGUGUGCAGAGGAUAAUUUGGUGAUGGCUUGGUUGAUUCACUUGAUGAUGCCAAAAAUUAGUGGAAAUUAUCUUCUCUCUAUCUUUGUCAAGGAAAUAUGGACUCAGUCAAGACAACUUACUCUGUGAAGGAGAACACAGUAGCCAUAUUCCAAGUCAAGUGUCAACUACGGCCACUAGUUCAAGGUGAUCUCACUGUUAGUCAAUUUUUUAGUACACUGAAAUGCUUAUGGGCUAUGGCAGCAAAUUGAUCUAUGCGAGGUCCAUACAUGGUCAUGCACUAAAGAUGAGUUAUACUACAAGCAACUAGUUCACCAAAAAUGUUGUUAUGAAUUUCUUUUGGGUCUUAAAAGACUCAUUUGAAGAUGCUCAUGGCCGAAUUAUGAGUGUUAAACCACUGCCGACAAUGGAAGAGGCCUUCAACAUGAUUAAAUGUGAAGAAAGUCAGAAGGUACUCACUAAAUCUCACACUGGGUCUCCUUCUAUUUCUAUUUCUCCAUCUCUAAAAGUCUCAACCUUGGCUCUUCAUGGAACACAAGAAGAUUCUAAAAGGAAUAAAGUUGGUUGUUGGUGUAAUCAUCGCAAUAAAAAGGGUCACACUUGGGAAGUUUGUUGGAAAUUACACGAUAAGCCCUCCAACAACAAACAGAAAUCAAGAAGCGAUAGUAAAGUCAUGAUGGUGGGACCAACCCUACCAGAUAAUGGGUCUUUAAGCACAAAGGUUCUUCUUGUUCUUCGAAAAAUCUUAGACAAACAUGGAAAUCAACCUGCUCCUACUUCUGGUGAGACGCAUACCCCUUCUGUUACUCUAGCACAAGCAGGUUUGAUUUUGAGGAUUUUGCUUUGUGGGGGAUGAUUGGCAAUGCUAAGGAGUGGCAUGGACUCUAUUAUCUUCAAGGAAACCUACCAAAAGCACAUAGUUCUUGUGUCUUUACUUUUAUGUCUGUGGAUGAUGUUCAAUUGUAGCAGUCUAGGUUAGGCCACCUUAGUUUUAGCUACUUGCAAACUUUGUUUCACAAUAUUAAUAUUAAAGUUAUUAUUGAUUUCCAUUGUGAAACCUGUCACAUUGCUAAACAAACUUGCAAUUCUAAUCCUAGUCAUUCUUACAAUCCCACUAAGUGAUUUACUCUCAUUCAUGGUGAUGUAUGGGGUGCAUCUAAAAUUGAAACUAAUUCUAAAGCCUGCUGGUUUGUUUCAUUUAUUGAUGAUCAUACUCGGUUAACUUGGAUCUUUUUUAUGAGGAAUAAGUCCGAAGUCUUCUCUAUUUUCAAAACCUUCUACAUGUUUGCAAAACUCAAUUUCAUACUAAAAUCCAGGUUCUUAGGAGUGAUAAUGGAAGGGAGUAUUUGAAUUCUCAGUUUUUUAGAAUUCUGUAACCUACAUGGUUUACAUCACCAAACAUCUUGUGCAUAUUCUCCUCAACAAAAUGGGGUUUUUGAAAAAAAAAGUACGAACCUUCUCGAAGUUGCUCGUGCACUUAUGGUGCACAGCAAUUUGCCUAAUAGAUUUUGGGGGGGAUGCUGUUCUUACCGCUGCAUAUUUAAUUAACCAAAUGCCUUCCAAAACUUUCAAUUUUUUCACCUCUCUUUAGAAAUUUCUUAAAAAUUUCCUUAUUUCUCCUUUAAUUUCUUCCAUUCCUCCUAAGGUGUUUGGCUGCACUGCUUUUGUUUACAAUGAAGGAGGAGGCAAACUUGAUCCUUGUUCCUUAAAAUGCUUUUUCUAGGAUAUUCUUCAUCUCAAAAAGGCUACAAAUGUUUUUCUCCUUCCAAUAAUAAGGUUUAUGUGACUAUAAAUGUCAAAUUUAUUGAAAAUCAGCCAUGUUUUUCCAAAAUCACCCAAUUAGGGGGAGAUGACUUUUGAGAUCUCUAAGUAUGAAUGGAUCAUUUGUGAAACUGAGCAAAAUUAUUUCACUAAUUCUGACCAGUAUGAGUCAAAUACUUCAAUACCUCUGCAUCCUCAAUCAGGCUUAUCUUUCCCUUACACUUCACCUUCUAAAUCUGAAAACAGCCUAGAAAAUUCUCACUUAUUACCUACCAGCACUGAAUCUUCAUCCACCAGGUCCAGAUUUCAAGACAUUAAUCCUUUUGAACCUUCGAACCUCAUUUCUGAAGCAAAUUCAGCUGAGACUAUAGUGGAAGAACCUUUAAAUACAUCUGAACAGCAACAUAGUGGGCAUGAGUCCAUUGCUACAACAAGGCAAAGUCAAGAGUCUGCACCUGAACCAAGUCUUGAAGACCUACAUUGGUCGAUUGCCUUAAGAAAUAGGAAAAGGAGUUGAACUCAACAUCGGUAGGUAGGUUUCAUACAAAAAGCUGUCUCCUCAUCUAAGAACCUUUGUUGCUAAUUUUGAGAAGGUCAAGAUAUCGAAUAGUUAUGAUGAAGCUAUAAUAGAUCCAAAAUGGAGGAAAGCUAUUGAUAAGGAACUACAAGCUCUUCACAAGAACAAGACUUGGAAGCUUAUUGAGCUACCUAAAGGAAAAACAAUUGUGAGCAGUAAAUGGCUCUUCACAAUCAAGUAUAACUUAGAUGGAAUGAUCAAUAAAUACAAGGCUUGACUAGUUGCUCGAGGGUUCUCUUAAACUUGUGGCAUUGAUUACCAAAAAACCUUUGCUCCAAUAGCUAAACUCAACACUAUUAAUGUUCUAUUAUCUAUUCCUGCAAGUUUGGAUUGGCCAUUACAUCGAUUGGAUGUUAAAAAUACUUUUCUAAAUGGUGAACUCAAGGAGGAGGUAUAUAUGGAGGUACGCCUAAGCUUGAGGUAUGUAGGAAACUCAAAUAAAGCUUGCUGACUUUUCAAAUCUCUUCAUGGCCUAAAACAAUCUCCAAGGGCUUGGCUUGACAAAUUCAAUCAAGCAAUAAAGAAACAAGGUUAUACUCAAUGUCAAGUAGAUGAUACCCUAUUUGUGAAACACUGUGGUUUAAAAAUCACUGCUCUUAUUGUAUAUGUGGAUGACAUUGUCCUCAUAAGAAAUGAUGCCAAGGACAUUGCCAACUUACAAGAGAAACUAGCUGUUGAAUUUGACAUCAAGGAUCUUGGAAAUUUGAGAUACUUGAGCGGGCAUAGAGGUUGCCAGGACAGAAAAAGGAAUUAGCAUGUCUCAACGCAAGUACAUUAUUGAUUGGCUAAAAGAAACAGGAAUGUUGGGAGCUAGAUCAGCGCACUCACCUAUGGAGCUUAAUCAAAAAUUGAUUAUUUGGCCAGAUGUUAAAGCAAUUGACAGGGAAAGAUAUUAGAGAUUGGUGGGAAAAUUGAUCUAUUUGUCCCACACAAGACUUGACAUAUGCUAUCCUAUAAGUAUGGUAAGUCAGUUCUCUAGUAAUCCUUAGACUAAACAUAUGACAGUCGUGUAUCGGAUUCUCAGAUGCCUAAAGAAAACGGCAAGACAAGGCUUGUUCUUUGAGAAGGGUUACUCUAGAAGAAUAGAAAUGUUCACUGAUGCAGAUUAGGGAGGUUCAAAAAAUGAUAGACGCUUUACUACUGGCUGUUGCUCCCAUGUGUAGGGUAAUCUUGUGACAUGAAGUAGAAAACAGCCCGUUGUAUCAAGAAGCUCAGCUGAAUCUGAGUAUCGAGCAUUGUCCUUGGGGUGUGUGAAGGAAUGUGGCUUAUUAGACUUCUAAGAGAGCUGAAGAUGGAUGUGAAUUCUCCGAUAAAAGUUUGGUGUGACAACAUGUCUGCCAUAAAAAUUGCCAAAAAUCCAAUUCAACAUGAUCGAAUGAAACAUGUAGAGAUUGAUUGGCACUUCAUUGGGGAAAGAAUUGAGGACAAAAUAAUUGAUUUAGCAUAUAUUCCCUUUGGUCAACAAAUUGCUGAUGUGAUGACAAAAUCAUUGAUUGAAGACAAGUUUAAAGGAUUUGGAAGCAAGCUGGGAAUGAUUAAUAUCUACUCGCCAGCUUGAGGGGAAAUGUUAGAAGUGGGCUUGCUUAGGGCCCUUAGAAGAGUCUGACCUAAGUUUUCAAAUAUAACUUGAUUAUUAGGAUAUUUUCUCGUUACUUUUAUAUCCCCAAUGGGAUUUUCCUGUUUUAGAGUUAUUUGCCUACUACAAUCAGAUUCGAUUGUCCCUUCUUGCACCAAUAUAUGUACUCUGUUUCUUCAGUGAAAUAUAAGGAAAUCAUAUGCAAAAAUAGCAUAGCUAACCAAUGUUUGGUUACCUUCUAGGCUUAGUUUGCAAAAUGGAAAAUAUACAUGAAAAGCUAGUUUUGUAAUGGCAAGUCAAAGUAGCAUUUUAAUUUCCAUGUGGCAUCAGCUUUAAUUUAGUGGCUACCUUGGCAGAAUAUAGAAAAUUAAAUGUUAGUCCAUCAGUGUUGUAAUUAAACAAUUGUUGAGCUUCCCAAGGUUGAGGGUAUUUGUUACAUUCAAUAUUUA